UGGAGAUACAGGAGGAUAAAUGAAUCUGAGGCACCUGCCUAGCAAGGACACUGCCUUGUAUGGGAAUUCUUCCUUCCCCCAAAGUACAGUACAUACUUGGUAAAACAACAGUGCAUUUCUUCAUUCAAGUUAUAUGAUUAAAAUAGCUGAUAUUAUGUCAUGGCACAUGGUUCUAAACAUUCCUCCCAUAUGAACCCAUUUAAACUCACAAGAGCCCUAGAAAGCAAGUUCUAGGACUGUCAGCCUCAUUUUACAUACGAGGAAACGGAGUUUCAGAGAGAUCAAGUUAACUUCCCCGAAGUCACACAGCUCAUCCUUCCUGGGCCAGGACUUAGACCCAAACAGUUGCUUUAAGCUCUUAGACCAUACAUGAUAGCAUCUCUUGGCCAGGGAAUUAGCGAGAAAUCAUAGGCAGUGAGAAGAUCUUGGACUUUGAAAAGAAAAAAAAAAUCUCCCGGUUUCACUAUUCGCUGGGUGACCUUGGCCAACUCAAUUGUUUCUUGUCUGAAACAGGGAUACUCCCCCCCUGCCUCCGGGGUGAGAGCCAAGACAGAUAAGGAAUGUAAAAACCCCUGCACACACUGAGCUUAAGACCAGUGUUGGCUCUUUCCUCUCAUAACAACGAGGCUGGGCAAUUUCUCUUUCUUUUAUAAAAGUGAAACCUUUGAGUUUCCUCACCAGUAACCUGGGCACAGUGAAGAGAACUUUGGCACUUGAGCUCUUGAGUUUAUCAGACAAAACUUGUUGACACUGAGCCCACACAAAGCUGGAAACUCCCAGAGGGAUAACUGCACAGGCUCUGACCUGGCACAGAUUUCCCCUGAAUUCUACAGAGUUUCAACACAGCUGAGGCUCUUGGAGAGCAAAGCUCAAGGUUCCGGAAAUGCAGAGCCCAGCACAGGGGAGGGGGGCUCUGUUCCUUUGAAUGGGAGAGGGUCUUGGUGAUUGAGUUUAGAGAACAGAGCUCCAGCUGUGCUGACCCUGCCCUUCAGAAGCAUCAUGAAUGUCUCUCUGGGAACCUCCUCAUACAGCAUCAUCCCGAGUGGUGGUUUUCAAAAGAAAAAAAGAAAUCUCCGACAUUGGUCCUUUGAUUGCCAAGAGUCGCCUUGCUCCCUGAAGGAGAAGGAUCUGCCCAAGGUGGCCUCAGGACAUAGACGGAGCACUCUGAGCCCUACCAGAAGGGGUCUGAGUCUGCAGAGUGCCUCCAUCUCAUCCCCGAGAGAAAAGAAAGAACGGCUCCCACGUCCUGUGGUGGUUCUGAGGAUGCGGUGGGAUGGUGAGUGUUUGGAGCUCCGGACAGGGCCCGGUCCUUUGUCAGCACUCAGUCGGUGGGAGCAGUAACUGUGCUCUGCCAGGAGUGAAGCCAUUGGCCCUCAUCACUCAGCAACGCAGAAGAGGAGUUGGCACAGACACUCAGAAGAGGCAGCCUCAUGAAGACGGAAGUAGAGAUGAAGUUACGCAACCACCAGCCGAGUAAUGACCAGAAGCUGGAAGAAGCAAGGAGGAUCCUUCCUCAGAGCCUUUGGAAGGAGCACCACCCUGCCAACCACUUGACUUUAGCAGACAGGCGUCCAGAUUGUGAGAGAAUGAAAUGUAUCAGUGAAGUGUAAAUGCUACACUUAGUUGAAGAAACCCAAUGCUGUGAGCGCGGAAUGGAGGAGAUGUGGUUUCGCAGUGGUUCGUGUGAAAAGGUGUGAAGGGUUUGUUUGCCUGCAAGCACCUUAUGAAUCAUCAGGAUAAAGAAACUGAGACACGGAGUGGUUAUAUCAUGCUUCCCGGGGUCACAUAGUCACAAACUCUGAAAGUUUGGCUCCUAUUUUAAAUUGGAACAAGAAAUUAGAAGAGGAAUUAUAUACAUUAUUUGGCUACAGAAGAAAAAAAGUAAACCAGAGAGAAUGUUCCAGAAGAGCACAAUUGGAUUCCAUCUCAAAAAAGAAUAUUGUUUUACAAUAUCUCAAAAGAAUUUUGCUGAGUUCUCUAUUAGUAGAAGCUUUCAGUCAGGCAUAUUUUUGAGGGAUUUGCUGCAUUGGAGCAGUGUAGGCUAAUAUGAUCUACAUGUUUCCUUCUGUUUCCUUGAGCUCAUCGGUGUCAGCAUGGUCCCAUAUUGAUGGGGUGGAAUGUGAGCAUUUAUCUCCCUGGAAUCUUGAGCCAUGCUCACUCCAGAGCCUGCCCUCGGGACCCCAAGCUACAGAGAGAUGUGAGAGCUGCGUUGGGUAAAGCAGGAGAUGAGAAGAGCAUUCUCAAGCACCAAAAGGGCCUGGUAGAAUGGAGAGGAGUUCAUGCCCUUGAAGUGAUGGGGUGAACUUUGAAGGGAAGGCAAAAAGAACAGGAGAUAAGAUCAUUAACCGAGAGCCCAAGUCCUAACCACUGAGCAGAGCUAAGCAUCAGUGCCAAUCUGGCAAAGGACAUGGGCAGGGUUGAACCAUGAGGUAGGGAAGGCAUGGGAGCCAUAAGGAAACCCUUGAGCUUUGCUUUCUCCUCACUUACCUCUCCGAAAGUUUGUGAGUGAGACCUCCCAUUUUUAUUGGGGGAAGAGAGAGUAAGAUGGAGAAAGGUUCUUAUAUCUGAAUUUCUCUUGGGAGAGCAAUGUAUAUAAUUGCAUGAAGAACAUAUCAAGAAGCUCUGUGGUUUUGAAGGGAGAGUUCCCCGAAUCAUACCCCAUCAACAAAAGAUGAAUGCUAAGUGUGGCGCAAAUGCCAGGAAGAAUAACUGGUUUUGCUCCUGAGAGGGCGGUUCAGUGGGUCUGAGGACAGAGGGAAGGGAGAAGAGGGAAAGAGGCAGCUGUGCAGUCCAGGGAGCCCCGUGUUGCUGACAGCGACCUCCCCAGACCCGACUGCUGCUUCCGUAAAAUUCCAUAAAAUCACAAAAUGCUUGGUGUGGGCAGAUCUCUUGAAGAACCUCCUGAGGAGGCCACAUUUUGGGUCAGGGAUGAUUUGGGGUAAAACAGAUUUAGUCCACAUGGACAAUUAGAUAGGGAGCCUACUCACUGAUAAGCUUAGGACUUUCAUGACCUCUGCCCUGAACUUCAGACUCAUAUACCUAAUUGCCUCCACAAUAUCUUCACUUGGAUGACCAAAAAUCACCUUCAACCCACCAAAAUCUCUUCCCCGUCAGAGGAGACGUUUCUACCGUUCAAUGGGCUGCCCAGGCCACACUCUUGGGAUCUUUCUCACUCCUUUUCCUGUGCUUCCAUUUUCAAAUCCAUCAGCAAGUCCUGUCGGCCCCGCCUUGAAAAUAUAUCUCAAAUCUUCCAACUCUCAACCACCUCUACCCCUGCUAAUCUUGUUGAGUUCCUGUCACUUCAGAGGAUGACAGCAGCAACCUCCUAACUGGUUUCUCCGAUUCUGUGUUUGCCUAAGUAUAGUUUAUUCUCCUCACAGAGUAAUCUUUAAGAAAUGCAAUCUUGUGCUCCAAGUCAUCCGAUGACUUGGCGAAGUCCUUACAAAAGCCGUACAAUUCUCUGUGACCUGGCCACCAACUUCAUUGUCCACUCCUCUCCCUUACCUGGCGUUCCUGCUGCUCUUUGAAGUUGACAGGGACACUUUGUGUUUGCUGUACCCGGGUCUGCACCAUUAGCAAAGAGUGAGGCUGGGACUCUAACCUGGGCCGUGGAACUCCAGAGCCAUUGCUCUUAAACCACUGCCACUUGCCAACCCCACAGCCCAUAUCACACUACCCAAUAAUGUAGUAUUUAUCUUCUUGUUUCCUUGGGGUCUUUUGCCCCCACUAAAAAAUACAAAUUUCAUAAGGGCAAGGACUUUGUGUGUUUUGCUCAUCAUACUGUGCCUGGCACAUAAUUGGUGCUCUAUAAAUAUUUGUGGAAGGAAUGAAGCCUUAGCUGAUAUCCAUAUAUAAUGGCUGACAGUGAGGCGCUUUUUAUGCAUCGUCCGCUAGUCUUCAUAGCAACCUCAUCAAAAGGUCAGUAUUAUGUUCUUCAUUUUAAUGAAGAGGGAACUGUGGCUUGAAGAGGUUAACUGUUUGCCCCACGUUACACAGCUAGGAAGUGGAAGAGCAGGGAUUUGAACUAGGAUCUGUUCACCCUCAGAGCCUAAGCUCUUAACCCUUGGGCUAUGUUUUUCCUACUACCCUAAACUUCUUCUUUCUCUUCUCCAUGUGUCACAAGUUACACCAAGGAAAUAAUUAAUAAUUAAAUAAUUAAUAUGUUUGAAGAACUCAGAAAGACCUUAAGAAAACAAAAAUGCCAUGGUAUAAAGCAUUAAACUUUUUAUAACUGGGUAGUACCUGUUAAGACAUGUGGUCUCUUCCUCUAUUUUAGAGAUAAAUUUGAGGUGCACAGAAGUUGAAUGGGUGUCUAAGGCCCCCAAACUCCAUGAUGUUGACAAAAGACACCUGAGUAAGGAAUUGGGAACUCUUCUGAUAUUGGAUUGGGCAUUGGAGAUUCAACAGGAAAUAAGAUCCAGCUUCUGAAUUCAAUGAGUUAUAGUCUUUUGGAAAAGACAUAAACCCAACUUCAACAUAUAGCAGGUGUUAAUAAUUAUAAUAUUUCUCAGAACUUUACGUAUAUCAACUCAUGUAAUUCUUGCAUAAUCUGCUAUAAUCUCGGUAUUACUAUAAUUAUCUUUAUUCUACAGAUGAUAAAGCUGAGGCACAGGAGAGUUAAGUGACUUGCCCAAGGUUACACAGCUAAUUACACAGGUAAAGCACAGGAUGUUCUAGGGGCUCAAGUAAGAGGCUUUAUCCCAACCUUGGGGAUCAGGGAAACUUCCUGUAGGAGGACACCUGAUCCAAAUCUUGAGGAAUGUGGGAGAGAACCAGCUUGGAGAAUUCUUCACAAGGGGUACAGGAUGCAUAAAAUGUGGGUUUAUAAAGGGAAUUUGCUAGCUUUCCUGCCCCACCUGGGUUUUACAGGUUUUAAAGCUCAUGAUCAUUGAUUUAAUCAAUCACUAAGACACGAGCUCGGGCUCGGAGAAGUAGCAAUGGAAUGGUGGAAAAGGCCUGGAAUUAUUACCUCCACCUGACAAAUUAAUAAUACCCAUUUUGCUGAAGCCCAAAGAGUAGGUGAAUUGUCUAAAGUCGCAUGGUUAGUAAAUGGAGGAGAUAGGAUUUAAACCCAGGCCACUUGGCUCCAGAAUCCAUGCAAUAAACCACCCUCCUUCACUUGAACUCCAUUAGGCUUUGUUCAGUGGACAAGAACUUCCCAGACUUCCAACUCUUGUCAAAAUAAGCCUGUGGGAAAAGGUGAAGGGAAGGCCAUCUUGUGGAACUCUUGACAUUUCCUGACUCUGUAAGUCAGUCUUAGGCUCCUACACAUUUUGUUAAGUACUAAACUAUCAUACUCAGCCUUGGUUAAGAUGCCAUAGUAAUUUCUGCUUCUGCAGUAGUUCCCUGCCACUAGGAACACUGAUAUGCCAUCAUAGAUAAGAGAAUGGUUACACUUAUGGCCUAUGUUAUAGAACCAGAUGAUUAACUUUCUUUUAGAUUUAUCUUCAUCGUGGUUUUCCUGAGAACAUAAUUAUGAUUUUGUGGUUUGCAAGGCAGACGGUGAGCAAUACAGCAGACUGCAAGCUCCUGGACUAUAGAGCUCUGUCUUACUCAUCUCUGAUGCCCGGUCUCAUCUCUGUACCUGAACCAGCACCUGGCCAUGGUGGGUGGACAAUAUCUGAAGACAGUCAUAGCGAAAGAAAGUUGUUGUGGCCUGAAUGUUUGUGUCCCUUCCCAAAUUCAUCUGUUGAAAUUCUAACUCCCAAAGAUGAUGGUAAUAGGAAGAGAGGCCUUUGGGAGGUGUUUAAGUCAUGAGGGUGGGGGCUUCAUGAAUGGGAUUACUGCCUUAUAAUAAAAGGGUCCAGAGAGAUCUCUAGCCCUUUCCACCAAGUGAGGAGUCUAUCAGUUAUGAUCCAGGAAGUGGGCCCUCACCAGAAUGUGACUAUGCUGGUACCUUAAUCUUAGACUUGCCAGCCUCGGGAAUUGUGAGAAAUAAAUUCUUGUUGUUUUUAAGCUGCCCAGUCUGUGGUGCUUUAUUAGAGAAGUCUGAACGGACUGAUAAAAGCCUUAGCUCCAAGCAUGACUCUCUCUUCAGGAGCAAUAGCUCUCCACUCAAAUUGCACCUGGGGAAAAUUUUAAAAAUCUGGUUCCUGGGGCUCUUGGGAAUUCAAACAGAAUCUAGGAGUGUGGGUGGGACCCAAACAUUAAUAUUUAAAAAAAAUUUAUUCUCCAGGUGAUUCUUAUUUGCAGCAAGGAUUAAAAACCAUUUCCCUGUAGAAAACAUACCUGCACAUAUUUAUAAAUAUUUAUAGCUGUAGACUUUAUAAAAGUCACACCUGUGACUAUGCUAACCAAUUCACUUUUGUCACUUAAUCUGUAAGAGCUCAGGGAUGGAGGUGGAAUCAGAAAUCAGGGAUGGUAGCUAAGUGCCGUAAACAUUAGCUCUGCAACGGGCAGGCAGACUAGUUCUGCAAUGUUGGCUCAUCUUGUCUUUGUAAAGAAAUUCAGUAAUUUUAGUUUCUUGAGUGGAAUUCUUCUAGAGGAGACCCACUUACUAGUUCACAAACAUUUCCCUGUGGUUAAAAUGUUACAUGUUAUCCGCUGAUUCUUGUUUGUGGCCUUUCACCACACACACACACACACACACACACACACACACAUUUCUUAGGAUAACAUUUUUUAUUUAAUUUUAGUUUUUUUAAGAUUUUAUUUAUUUAUUUGACAGAGAAAGACACAGCGAG